UACAGAGGGUGCGAGCGUUAAUCGGAAUUACUGGGCGUAAAGCGUGCGCAGGCGGUCUUGUAAGUCUGUCGUGAAAUCCCCGGGCUCAACCUGGGAAUGGCGAUGGAGACUGCAAGGCUAGAGUUUGGCAGAGGGGGGUAGAAUUCCACGUGUAGCAGUGAAAUGCGUAGAGAUGUGGAGGAACACCGAUGGCGAAGGCAGCCCCCUGGGUCAAAACUGACGCUCAUGCACGAAAGCGUGGGGAGCAAACAGG
rnacentral:rRNA from 1 species